GAUGAACGCUAGCGGCAGGCUUAAUACAUGCAAGUCGAGGGGUAGCAAGAUUGUAGCAAUACAAUUGUUGACGACCGGCAAACGGGGGCGGAACACGUACACAACCUUCCUACAAGUGGGGAAUAGCCCAGAGAAAUUUGGAUUAAUACCCCGUAACAUAGCGAUGUGGCAUCACAUUGCUAUUAUAGCUUCGGCGCUUGUUGAUGGGUGUGCGGCUGAUUAGAUAGUUGGCGGGGUAACGGCCCACCAAGUCUACGAUCAGUAGCUGAUGUGAAAGCAUGAUCAGCCACACGGGCACUGAGACACGGGCCCGACUCCUACGGGAGGCAGCAGUAAGGAAUAUUGGACAAUGGACGCAAGUCUGAUCCAGCCAUGCCGCGUGAAGGAUUAAGGUCCUCUGGAUUGUAAACUUCUUUUAUAAGGGACGAAAAAAGGUCUUUCUAGAUCGUCUGACGGUACCUUAUGAAUAAGCACCGGCUAACUCCGUGCCAGCCGCCGCGGUAAUAC
rnacentral:rRNA from 1 species